rnacentral:RNase_P_RNA from 2 species
GGAGUUGGACGAGCCGUCGCCGCGAACCUUUCGGUUCGGGGAGGAAAGUCCGGGCUCCGCAGGGCAGGACGCUGGGUAACCCCCAGGGGGAGCGAUCCCCGGAUAGCGCCACAGAAAGCAGACCGCCCCGCGAGGGGUAAGGGUGAAACGGUGGGGUAAGAGCCCACCAGCGGCCGCGGCGACGCGGCCGGCUCGGCAAGCCCCGUCCGGAGAAAGGCCAAAUAGGAACGCGCUCGAGGCUGGCCCGGCCGAAGCGUUCGGGUAGGCUGCUUGAGGCACGGAGCAAUCCGCACCCUAGAGGAAUGGCGGCAUAGAACAGAACCCGGCUUACUGUCCGACUCCAGGA